GACAGAGGGUGCAAACGUUGCUCGGAAUCACUGGGCGUAAAGGGCGUGUAGGCGGGUAGAUAAGUCGGGCGUGAAAUCCCUAGGCUCAACCUAGGAACUGCACUCGAAACUGUUUAUCUUGAGUGCCGGAGAGGAAAGCGGAAUUCCUGGUGUAGAGGUGAAAUUCGUAGAUAUCUGGAGGAAUACCGGUGGCGAAGGCGGCAUCCUGGACCGGCAUUGACGCUGAUGAGCGAAAGCUAGGGGAGCAAACGGGG
rnacentral:rRNA from 1 species